CAUUGAAACACUGGUUCUUGUACAACCACUGAAGUUAAGCAACAUUGAGCUUGGUCAGUACUUAGAUAGGUGACUGCUUGGGAAUAUCAGAUGCUGUAA